rnacentral:rRNA from 1 species
ACACAUGCAAGUCGAACGGUAACAGGUCUUCGGAUGCUGACGAGUGGCGAACGGGUGAGUAAUACAUCGGAACGUGCCCGAGAGUGGGGGAUAACGAAGCGAAAGCUUUGCUAAUACCGCAUACGAUCUCAGGAUGAAAGCAGGGGACCGCAAGGCCUUGCGCUCACGGAGCGGCCGAUGGCAGAUUAGGUAGUUGGUGGGAUAGAAGCUUACCAAGCCGACGAUCUGUAGCUGGUCUGAGAGGACGACCAGCCACACUGGGACUGAGACACGGCCCAGACUCCUACGGGAGGCAGCAGUGGGGAAUUUUGGACAAUGGGCGCAAGCCUGAUCCAGCCAUGCCGCGUGCAGGAUGAAGGCCUUCGGGUUGUAAACUGCUUUUGUACGGAACGAAAAGACUCUGGUUAAUACCUGGGGUCCAUGACGGUACCGUAAGAAUAAGCACCGGCUAACUACGUGCCAGCAGCCGCGGUAAUACGUAGGGUGCGAGCGUUAAUCGGAAUUACUAGGCGUAAAGCGUGCGCAGGC